ACUUUGAAGAGAGAGUUCAAUAGGACGUGAAGCUGCCGAGAAGUAAACGGGAAGGGCCCCGCACACCUUAGGCCGGGAGAUUCAGCGUAAUGGGAGGUAUCGGCGCCCCGUUCUGCCUCGAGACCCCUCUCGGGGGGAUUCGGCGGGAUGGGUCGAUGCAGCCGCCCUUAACGUGCAUUUCUCCCGUGCCUCCGGGGUUGGCGACCGACCGUUGCCGGCUGGUUGUGCGCGGCGAAGGCAGGUAGCUCACGCUCGCUUCGGCGGGCGAGAGAACGUAUAGUCUUGCCGUUCCGCACCGGCUGCAUGGUCGAGGAAAGAUGGCCACGAGCUGUGCCUGCCCGAUCUUCGGAUCUAGGGGCUGGAGCCGCCGGACUCCCGCUCGUGCGGCGUACGGGGACUGUACUCAGUGCCCGAGCGCCCGUGCGGUCGAGAAAGGCCGGAUCGUCUCUCAGGCGCAUGGGGUCUGCCAACUUGGCCGGGCGCCUUUUCGACCCGUCUUGAAACACGGACCAAGAAGUCUAACGGACACGCAAGUCGAAGGGUCGUAUACGAAACCCCGAGGCGCAAUGAAAGUAAAGGGCGGCGUAGGUCGUCUACGGUGGGAUCCCAGGUCUAACCACGGCCAGGGCGCACCACCGCCCCGUGUCGAACGCUUUGCUCGUUGAUGCGGAGGAAGAGCGUGCACGCUAGGACCCGAAAGAUGGUGAACUAUGCCCGAGCAGGAUGAAGCCAGAGGAAACUCUGGUGGAGGUCCG
rnacentral:rRNA from 1 species